UUGUUUUUAAAGGGUACGAAAAAAAGAAACCGUUGUGGAUUGGUCAAAAAAUUACGGGGCGUAUUGUUUUCAAAGGGGAGGAGCCCCGUAAAAAGUUUCGACCAAUCGGACUAGUAGAAAGAUUGUUUUCAAAUACUAUUGGUUGAUGUAUUGGCAGGGGAGGUCCUUUCGUACUCCGUCGGGGGUGUGGUCUCAAAAGACAACCUUCUUUUCGUCGUCAGUACGCAUUUCCAAUUUCGACUGCUUCGAAACAAGACGUCUAUCUUCUCCUUCAUUUCUCCCAUACACUCUCGCCAUGCCGCUAUAGGAACCACCACCACCGGGGUAAACACCCCGCAUUCAGAGUUAAAAGACUCCAAAGAAAAGACGUCUGGUUCGGUCGACUGAGGCUGAUAGGAUCCGUUGAUUUUAGGAGCACGGAGACUGGCACGAAAAAACCAACGACCUGAGGCAGAAGAUUUCGUCUCCCAAGUAGCGCUAAACAGAAUUCUUCUCUCACGCAACUCAUCCAGCGUCGGCUGAAACAAACAGAUAUCUCCCAUCUGGUAUCGGAAAACGUAUCCAAAAGAUCCAAUCAUUCCAUAACCCUCCAAGCACCACUUCUCCCGCAAAGACUCGGUUGGAGGAAUUUGAGUACGAUUCAAAAAAAUCCUACUUUUUCGAGGAGCGUCGUAGUGUAUAAAAUCAAGCACUUUGGCAUGGAGACUGUUUCUACAAACGUUUGUGAAAGAAUGGGCCGCUCUCAGUGAUUUCCAGCGUGGAACUGUCCCAGGAUGCCACCUGUGCAACAAGCCCAGUCGUGAAAUGUCCUCGCUCCUAAAUAUUCUGGGUUUGGAGGUUGCCAGGAGAACGGUACAUUUCGGACUGCAUUGUGCCGAAUGUGAAAUUUGGUGGAGGAGGAAUUAUGGUGUGGGGUUGUUUUUCAGGAGUUCCAGUGAAAGGAACUUUGAAUGCUCCCAUGCUCCCAACCUUGUGGUGACAGUUUGGAGCGGGCCCCUUCCUCUUCCAACAUGACUGUGCACCAGUGCACAAAGCAAGGUCCAUAAAGACAUGGAUGACAGAGUCUGGUGUGGAUUAACUUGACUGGCCUGCAUAGAGUCCUGACCUGAACCCGAUAGAACACCUUCGGAAUGAAUUAGAACGGAGACUGAGAGAUCAGGCCUUCUCCACCAACAUCAGUGUGUGACCUCACCAAUGCGCUUUUGGAAGAAUGCUGGAAAAUUCCUAUAAACACACCCCGCAGCCUUGUGGACAGCCUUCCCAGAAGACUUGAAGUUGUAAUAGCUGCAAAAGGUGGACCGACAUCAUAUUGAAACUAGGGCUGCAGCAACUAAUCGAUUAAAAUCGAUUAUAAAAAUAGUUGGCGAUUAAUUUAGUCAUCAUUAUCUUCGACCCAACUCUCUCGUUUGAGUCACACAUUAAGAGUGUUACUAAAACGGCCUUCUUUCAUCUCCGUAAUAUCGCUAAAAUUCGUUCCAUCUUGUCCACUAGCGACGCUGAGAUCAUUAUUCAUGCGUUCGUUACGUCUCGUCUCGAUUACUGUAACGUAUUAUUUUCGGGCCUCCCUAUGUCUAGCAUUAAAAGAUUACAGUUGGUACAAAAUGCGGCUGCAAGGCUUUUGACAAAAACAAGAAAGUUUGAUCAUAUUACGCCUAUACUGGCUCACUUGCACUGGCUUCCUGUGCACUUAAGAUGCGACUUUAAGGUUUUACUACUUACGUAUAAAAUAUUACACGGUUUAGCUCCAGCCUAUCUCGCCGAUUGUAUUGUACCAUAUGUCCCGACAAGAAAUCUGCGUUCAAAGAACUCCGGCUUAUUAGUGAUUCCCAGAGCCAAAAAAAAGUCUGCGGGCUAUAGAGCGUUUUCUAUUCGGGCUCCAGUACUCUGGAAUGCCCUCCCGGUAACAGUUAGAGAUGCUACCUCAGUAGAAGCAUUUAAGUCCCAUCUUAAAACUCAUUUGUAUAAUCUAGCCUUUAAAUAGACCCCCCCUUUUUUAGACCAGUUGAUCUGCCGUUUCUUUUCUUCUCUCCUCUUCUCCCCUGUCCCUUGCGAGGGGGAGUUGCAUAGGUCCGGUGGCCAUGGAUGAAGUGCUGGCUGUCCAGAGCCGGGACCCCGGGUGGACCACUAGCCUGUGCAUCGGUUGGGGACAUCUCUGCGCUGCUGACCCGUCUCCGCUCGGGAUGGUUCCCUGUUGGCCCCGCUGUGGACUGGACUCCCGCUGAUGUGUUGGAUCCACUGUGGACUGUACUUUCACAAUGUUAUGUCAGACCCACUCGACAUCCGUUGCUUUCGGUCUCCCCUAGAGGGGGGGGGGGUUACCCACAUAUGCGGUCCUCUCCAAGGUUUCUCAUAGUCAUUCACCGACGUCCCACUGGGGUGAGUUUUUCCUUGCCCGUAUGUGGGCUCUGUACCGAGGAUGUCGUUGUGGCUUGUACAGCCCUUUGAGACACUUGUGAUUUAGGGCUAUAUAAAUAAACAUUGAUUGAUAAACAUUGAUUGAUCGAUUCGUUGGAUCUAU